UGGGCAUGCUCUGUUUGCACUGAAGCAAUGUCACUCAUUGGGUGGUACAAGACACCAGCUGGAAUGUGUCUACUGUGGGAAGAGAAAAUUUUCUCCAGAGAAAUGCCACAGAUGUGAAGAAGCCAGUCAGGCCAAGAGGCCACCAUUGUGGAGCGCUUCAUUGUGAGCUACCAGUUCUCAACUCCAAGGAUUCCACAGCCUCCAGCAUCACCCAUGUCACCCAACUUGCCUGCAGUUCACUCUGAAUAUGACUGAGGCAGUUAAGACCUACAAGUGGCAGUGCAUAGAAUGCAAAUCCUGUAUCCUGUGUGGGACCUCGGAGAAUGAUGACCAGCUACUCUUCUGUGAUGACUGCGAUCGAGGCUAUCACAUGUACUGUUUAAAUCCCCCAGUGGCUGAGCCCCCAGAAGGAAGCUGGAGCUGCCAUUUAUGCUGGGAGCUGCUCAAAGAGAAAGCAUCAGCCUUUGGCUGCCAGGCCUAGGGCCCCAAUCACGGAAUGCAGCCCGCCACUAGAGAGGCUGACCCGAAGCCCUAUUCAACCCAUACAGGAUGGAGGUCUCCUCCUGUAUAUGCACACAGACCAACUGCAAGGAAAACGGAUAAUUACAGAAGGGUAUGGACAAGUGGAGCGGUGAGAGCAAGGUCUCCAUUCACCCCUCGCCCUACCCGCGACCUCCCGCCCCUGCACAUACUUCAGCCAGCGCUUCCUCAUUUCUGCCAGAGGGAACCUGGCAUAUUUGAAGAGCAAUCCAGCCCCUGCUCUGUGGAAC
rnacentral:lncRNA from 1 species